UACAGAGGUCCCGAGCGUUGUUCGGAUUCACUGGGCGUAAAGGGUGCGUAGGUGGCCUGAAAAGUUUGAUGUGAAAGCUCAGGGCUUAACCCUGAAAUGGCAUUGAAUACUGUCGGGCUGGAGGUUUGGAGGGGGGACUGGAAUUCUUGGUGUAGCAGUGAAAUGCGUAGAUAUCAAGAGGAACACCAGUGGCAAAGGCGAGUCCCUGGACAACACCUGACACUGAGGCACGAAAGCUAGGGGAGCAAACAGG
rnacentral:rRNA from 1 species